rnacentral:rRNA from 1 species
UGGGGAAUAUUGCACAAUGGGCGCAAGCCUGAUGCAGCCAUGCCGCGUGUGUGAAGAAGGCCUUCAGGUUGUAAAGCACUUUCAGCGGGGAGGAAGGCGUUAAGGUUAAUAACCUUGGCGAUUGACGUUACCCGCAGAAGAAGCACCGGCUAACUCCGUGCCAGCAGCCGCGGUAAUACGGAGGGUGCAAGCGUUAAUCGGAAUUACUGGGCGUAAAGCGCACGCAGGCGGUUGAUUGAGUCAGAUGUGAAAUCCCCGGGCUUAACCCGGGAAUUGCAUCUGAUACUGGUCAGCUAGAGGCUUGUAGAGGGGGGUAGAAUUCCAUGUGUAGCGGUGAAAUGCGUAGAGAUGUGGAGGAAUACCGGUGGCGGAGGCGGCCCCCUGGACAAAGACUGACGCUCAGGUGCGAAAGCGUGGGGAGCAAACAGG